rnacentral:rRNA from 1 species
GACAUAGGUGGCGAACGUUAUCCGGAAUUAUUGGGCGUAAAGGGUGUGUAGGUGGCGCCGUAAGUCGGGUGUGAAAUUUCGGAGCUUAACUCCGAAACUGCAUUCGAUACUGCGGUGCUUGAGGACUGGAGAGGAGACUGGAAUUCAUGGAGUAGCAGUGAAAUGCGUAGAGAUCAUGAGGAAGACCAGUGGCGAAGGCGGGUCUCUGGACAGUUCCUGACACUGAGACACGAAGGCCAGGGGAGCAAACGGG